rnacentral:rRNA from 1 species
GACGAACGCUGGCGGCGUGCCUAAUACAUGCAAGUAGAACGCUGAAGGAGGAGCUUGCUUCUCCGGAUGAGUUGCGAACGGGUGAGUAACGCGUAGGUAACCUGCCUGGUAGCGGGGGAUAACUAUUGGAAACGAUAGCUAAUACCGCAUAACAGUAGAUAUUGCAUGAUAUCUGCUUGAAAGGUGCAAUUGCAUCACUACCAGAUGGACCUGCGUUGUAUUAGCUAGUUGGUGAGGUAACGGCUCACCAAGGCGACGAUACAUAGCCGACCUGAGAGGGUGAUCGGCCACACUGGGACUGAGACACGGCCCAGACUCCUACGGGAGGCAGCAGUAGGGAAUCUUCGGCAAUGGACGGAAGUCUGACCGAGCAACGCCGCGUGAGUGAAGAAGGUUUUCGGAUCGUAAAGCUCUGUUGUAAGAGAAGAACGAGUGUGAGAGUGGAAAGUUCACACUGUGACGGUAUCUUACCAGAAAGAGACGGCUAACUACGUG